rnacentral:rRNA from 1 species
AUUGAACGCUGGCGGCAGGCCUAACACAUGCAAGUCGAGCGGAGCGGCGGACGGGUGAGUAAUGCCUAGGAAUCUGCCUGGUAGUGGGGGAUAACGUCCGGAAACGGGCGCUAAUACCGCCUACUCUCAGAUGAGCCUAGGUCGGAUUAGCUAGUUGGUGGGGGAAAGGCCUACAAAGGCCACGAUCCGUCACUGGUCUGAGAGUAAGAUCAGUCACACUGGAACUGAGACACGGUCCUGACUCCUACGGGAGGCAGCAGUGGGGAAUAUUGGACAAUGGGCGAAAGCCUGAUCCAGCCAUGCCGAGUGUGUGAAGAAGGUCUUCGGAUUGUAAAGCACUUUAAGUUGGGAGGCGUUACCAACAGAAGAAGCACCAGCUAACUUCGUGCCAGCAGCCGCGGUAAUUC